AUUGAACGCUGGCGGCAAGCCUAACACAUGCAAGUCGAACGAGUGGCGGACGGGUGAGUAAUGUCUGGGAAACUGCCUGAUGGAGGGGGAUAACUACUGGAAACGGUAGCCAAUACCGCAUACCAUCGGAUGUGCCCAGAUGGGAUUAGCUAGUAGGAGGGGUAAAGGCUCACCUAGGCGACGAUCGCUAGCUGGUCUGAGAGGAUGACCAGCCACACUGGAACUGAGACACGGUCCAGACUCCUACGGGAGGCAGCAGUGGGGAAUAUUGCACAAUGGGCGCAAGCCGGAUGCAGCCAGGCCGCUUGUAUGAAGAAGGCCUUCGGGUUGUAAAGUACUUUCAGCGAGGAGGCGUUACCCGCAGAAGAAGCACCGGCUAACUCCGUGCCAGCAGCCGCGGUAAUUC
rnacentral:rRNA from 1 species